CAAAGGGGCGCCGCGCCCGGCCCCUGACCCCCAGUCCCGGCCCUACAGCGCCGGUGGUGCGCCCUGGCGCCUAGACGUGGCGGACUCACGGCCCCUCGCGGGCCGGGCCGCUGCGUCCCGCCCCGCGUCCGUCCUGCCGGGACCGGGCCGGCCUCCUGGCGGUCGCGUGGCCUUGUCCCCUCUGGGCCCCCCGUGGCCUGGCCGUUGUCCCCGUUCCCCGACCUGGACGCGCCGGCGUGUGGAGCCGCCGUGGGUGGGCUCCCGGGGCGAGGCCGGGCGCGGACUGCGGCGCGGGGCUGCGUGUCUGCGGGCGCCGAGCUCCGGCCCUGCGCCCCGGGCGCGUUUGCUGGCCGCGUGCUGCCGCGGAUGCCGGGCUCCUCCCUCGCCGCUGCUCAUUCAGGCGGUUUUGGGGGCGCUUAGCUUUAUGGCACGCUUCGUGCUGCCCUUUGAAGUUGUUUACUCAUUUUCUAAACGGGAAUAAAAUUAGAGCGCCCAGCUGGUGGGGAGGGCGGCUCUUCCUUCCCUGGGUGGCCCUCAGCCAGCAGCCUGGGGCGCGGGCUUCCCCAACCGAGCAGCCUGCGCGCUGCACUCACUCCUCUGAUCCAGUCUGUUCCACCGGAGUACGUCAAGAGGUGUGGACCCCAUUCAGUUUGUCAUAGGCACCUCUUUUCCCCUUUGCGCUUAUAAAGGUGUCAGAAACCAGGAUCCUAGCAGGUGCUCUAGACAACCCAGCAGGGCCUUGCCCCCCCCAUUUUUCCCACUGGGGACCCUGGGGCUGGGGCUGUAGGGGAGCAGGCCAGCUUGGGGACACUCCUGGGUGGGUGCUGGUUUGGUCGCCGUCUCAGUGCCUGGUGCCCCCCUGUUGAACCCAAGUGUAGGGGGCCAUCUUGCAGUUCCCGGUCAACUUCAGCCUUCAGCCGCCAGGGCCUGGGGCCUCCUCUGGAGUGGGUCCAGCAGGGGAGGGGCCAGGCUGGGUGGGCCAGGGAGCUGCCCCUCCUCCUCCCCUCUGCCGUUGGAACCUUGGGGGCACUGGCUCCCUGAGGCCUGUGGGAGAGAGGCUACAACCACACCUGAGCCAGGAGUUGGAGGCUAGAUCUUUCUGUGGCUGGGUGCCCUGCCCGGCCCUCUGCCUGUGCGCGGAGAAAUGAGGGCACCACCUCUGGGCAUGCCCGGAAGGACAGCCUUGAAGCUGGCAGCGGCUUAAGCCGGGAACCUGGCCAGCGGCCAGACCCCUUUAUAGUGAUCAUUUUCCUCGUGCUUUGUUUAGGACAGAUUAACCUCUGGUUGGGGGAGGGGGGACCACUUGUCACCCAGAAGUGGAACAAGAUUGGCUUUCUCUGGUUAGUCUGAAUAGAGCAGUCAGAGGUGAAAUCCUCACCCAACUCCCACUUCUGGGGGUGGCUGGAGAAUUAGGUCGCAAAUGGGGGGAUGGCCACAUCCCCUUUUCCUACCUGGUUUCCCCUUUUCCAGGAUCCGCCCUCUUCUUCAAGAGCAGCGACUUCAUUUGUAUAAAAAUGUACACCAAAGAGUGCUCUGUAGCUGCUGGCCUCCAGCAUGGCCGACAUUUGAGGCACAGGGAGCGUUGCACACGCGCUCUGUGGGUCAGUGCAGGCCAUCCACUCUUGGUGUGGGGUGACAUCUCUGAGGUUCUUAGGGGAGUGGCCAGAGAGGACCAGGGCACGGACCUAGCCCGUCCCUGGGGGUAUUCCGGCCGAGCCCCUGCUGGGUGUGUGGUCUUGAGCUUGUCGUGUGCUCUGCUCGUGUGCGUCUGUCAGGUGGGGAUGGCGGUGUGAGGCCAUGUGGGAUCAUGAGUGAGCACCUGUUAAGUGUUGGGGACGGGUCUAGGAGACAGGAUGGGGCCAGGGCCAGGGUGAGGGGCGGGGCAGGACAGGCCUGGGGACAGAGCAGGGGCCUGGGGCAGUGCCGCCUUGUGCUGUGUGCCCGCCCUGCUGUCCCUGGAUGUCAGCCUGGCGAUGUGUGCGCUCUGGGUUUCACCUUCUGUGCACCCUAGAGCUUCAGGACUGUGCCAAAGGGGGCCGUGGGGGGCCUGCUGGACCCCGGCUUUGGUCUGCUCCCCCUCCUUGCGGCUCCCACUGGUGCCCGCUGUGUGUGCCGGCCCUGGAGCUCCACUUCCUGCAGGGGCCGGCCGUUGUGUUCCACGGUCGCUCCAGGGUUCUUCUCUGUUGGGUUUUAUCACCACCGCUGAGCGCGGGGUUGGGUUUGGGUGUCUCUGCGAGGCCUCUUGAGGGACGCGCGCUUGGGGCUGCAUGUUUCCCCACCCCACGCACGUGUGUCCUGUUCAGCCUGUCUCGGGGUGUUGGUGCACCUCCAGCCUGUCCAGCUGUGGCGGGUUGCUCUCUGUUCUCUCCGUUUCUGAGAAAUGGACUUGUGGCAGGGGUGACCUGUCUCAGCCCCUGUCCGUC